GCCGGGCAUGGUGGCGCAUGCCUGUAAUCCCAACUACUUGGGAGGCUGAGGCAAGAGAAUCACUUGAACCCGGGAGGCGGAGUUUGCAGUGAGCCAAGAUGGCGCCACUGUACUCCAGCCUGGGCAACAGAGUGAGACUCUGUCUCAA
rnacentral:SRP_RNA from 1 species